rnacentral:lncRNA from 1 species
UGGUAUUCCUAUCAUUAUGGGUUCAUUCCAUAGGUGUAAUAGUUUUUGUACUGUACAAACUGUAUUUUCUAUCCUCUUACUCUAAACCUACCCCUCACAUAGAACUACAGGCAUUUUUACAUUCUCAAAACACUUCAUUCUGGAUGAUUUACAAGCGUGUUUCCUCAUGGCGACCAAAAAAUGUCAUGAUAUUUGAUCCCCAUAACGUAGGGAAUACCAGUUACACACACCGAUACGGAUAUGAAGGCAUCGUGUCUAAUGAGUGCUCAUCUUCUGUCUCUCACAGCAGUCCUGUCUCUCUCUCUCGGUGUCCUGUCUCCCUCUGCUGGCCGCUGUGGUGAGGGGUUUCCUGACCCGUCGACUCCUGCGCACUGAACGCGUGUCACACCUCAUCAGGACCAUCACGGACACACGGAUGUUCCUGCUGACGUUCCAGCAUCAGACGGCGGUGAACUGCAGCAAACACGACCUCAUGCUGCAGGAGCGCGUCACGCUACAGCUGCGAGCCGCGCGGUACGAGCUGCACCAGAUCUUCUUCAGCAUGAGCUCCUCUGAUCGGAUGCAGAUGAUCCACUGCGACCGACAGCUGAGCAGAGAACGCCAACUCAAACCACAGGAUAAUAAAGUGAAGGGAUCCCUCUCUGCCGCCACCAGAAAAGCUUUAGAACGCAAGAAACUCAUGUUACAAAGGAAAUCAGCUGACAGGAAGAAGUUUUCUCCGUCCAAUGAGGAGAAAUGGAACCUGGUGCCAAAGAUCUGUCGGGUUUCAAAGAAGAUCACGCCGUUACGCGGAGCGCGAUGAACCGACGCGAGGCCAAGCUCUCUUCAGAUGUUCGACUGCAGUUUUAUACUCGUUUUUAUAUCAUUGCCUUUAAACACUAUGCCAAUUAUUUAAUGUAGUUUUAUUUUUACAUUUUUCUAGAAUUCUCUGUAUGUCUCGCGACUUCAGCGCUGCGUUUCUUGCUGGAUUUGUCUUGCGACACUUUAAUAAAUUGUGAUAAUUGUUGUAUUUUGUCAUUUAUCAAAUGAACAAAAAGAUCUAAAACACUUGACUUUUUAACAUUAAUUUCAAUCAAUAAUAAGAUAAGAUCAUCUUUUCAAGAAAAUAGAAUGUCAGAGGUCAAUUCUGGGUUUGUUUAUACAUCAGUGAUUGACGGGUUAUAUAAUGACUAAUUUAUCUAUCAGGUAAAAGCAGCAGAGCUAUAUAUAUAAAUGCAAAGUGAUCAUUUGGAAACUCUUACCUAUAGAAGCUAUUUCCACUACAGGAAUAAAAAAAUUAAAC